GACGAACGCUGGCGGCGUGCUUAACACAUGCAAGUCGAACGGAAAGGCCCUGCUUUUUUGGGGUGCUCGAGUGGCGAACGGGUGAGUAACACGUGAGUAACCUGCCCUUGACUUUGGGAUAACUUCAGGAAACUGGGGCUAAUACCGGAUAGGAGAUCCUGCUGCAUGGUGAGGGUUGGAAAGUUUCGGCGGUUGGGGAUGGACGGGCGGCUUAUCAGCUUGUUGGUGGGGUAGUGGCUUACCAAGGCUUUGACGGGUCGCCGGCAUGAGAGGGUGACCGGCCACAUGGGGACUGAGAUACGGCGCAGACUGCAACGGGAGGCAGCAGUGGGGAAUAUUGCACAAUGGGCGGAAGCCUGAGGCAGCAACGCCGCGUGCGGGAUGACGGCCUGCGGGUUGUAAACCGCUUUCGCCUGUGACGAAGCGGGAGUGACGGUAAUGGGUAAAGAAGCACCGGCUAACUACGUG
rnacentral:rRNA from 1 species